rnacentral:lncRNA from 1 species
UUUACUUUUUUUUCCCCACCAGGAAGAAUACUCGAUUAGACUGCAUUUUGCCUUGCUUUUCCUUCUCCCUUUCUCUCUCUUUCUUUCUUUCUUUCUUUCUUUCUUUCUUUCUUUCUUUCUUUCUUUCUUUCUUUCUUUCUUUCUUUCUUUUUCUUUCUCUCUCUCUCUCUCUUUCUUUCUUUCCUUUCUUUUCUUUCUUUCCUCUUUCUCUUUCCUUCUUUCUUUUUUUCUUCUUUCUUUCCUUCCUUCCUUCCAUCUUUCUUUUCUUUCUUUCCAUUUUUUUUUUCCUCCAGAAGAAUGGAAACAGUAUUCUUUUCCGAUCAGUUCAGUAAUACAAUGUCCUUCAGUGUCCAUAUGAGCAUUUCAGUGGAGAAGAAAAGAAACUUUGCUACCUGGGAACUGAAGACUACUUAGUGAAGAUCCCGGUGUUACACAUCCAAUCGUUCACCUCCUUCCAAGACUAUGACAUUCCAGGAAACCUUCACUGCUAAGAGGAACUAAGAUCUAGAGUAUCUCCUCGAGGAAGUACAACUGGUAAGUCCUUACCAGCGAGUUUAACGUUUGUUUCUAAAAUGUACCAAAUAACAACAAAGAUCCCCCAAGCCUGGCAAACAGUACCCAUG